rnacentral:ncRNA from 22 species
UUCUUAUUAAGAGAGGUGGAGGGACUGGCCCUUCGAAGCCUCAGCAACCUGAUUUAUGUGAUAUAAAGGUGCUAAAUCCUGUAGGAUAUAAAAGUCCUAAUAGAUAAGAA